rnacentral:misc_RNA from 1 species
GGCAUUAAGUUGCCAUCAUUUGGAUUUUGGAAUAAGAGAAAUUAAACAACUGAUAGUACGUACCACUGACAUGCAAUGAUUUUAUCAUGCGUGUAUUCUCAAUUGUUAUUCAAAGUAUGGAAAGCAAAUAACAACUCCCACAAGAUCACACAAAAAAAUGAUGAUGAAAAGAAAGGAAAUUCGUUCAUUUAUUCUAAUUUAUUAGUUGUGAUAUUCAUUGUGAUGUCUAAAAAAGGAAGUAAUUCCGAGAAAGCGGAACCGUGGUGGAAGCAGUACAGGUGAGAACCUCACCAUCUGCUGUCACUGUAUAUGUUUCUGGAUCUACUGUGAUAUUAGGAAGGGCAUCAUUGAGCUUCAUGUCAAGUUUAGUGAGUCUCCUAACAUUGCCUACGGCUUCCACUCUUUUGCUGAGUCCAUACAAAGCCUUUAUCCCAUUAUACGCUGCGAUCUUGCUGACAAAAGCAACGGAGUUAGCACUUCCAGCCUUGCCAAAGGCUCCAAACAUAGGUCUUGAAAUCACCUGCAGAAACUAGAAUAAUUAACAUAGGUCUUAAAUUUUUUCCCUUUUUAGUCUAUAUGCUCUCUUUCAGGCCAAUUCGACAUAUAUUUCCGUAUCUUGUAUUAGGAUCCUGUGCGAGUGAGUGGACCUUUGCUUUUGCAAAAUUACAGUUCCUAAUCACCCAAGUGAUUAAAUGAACACAAGCAGCAACUUAACUUCAAUCAAUAAAGGGAUGCAUUAACUCGACAGCUAUAAGUUCACAUAAUUUCAAUGUUAAUGUCAUUGUUGUAGCAUGAAAAAUUAAUAUAAAUGCCCAUCAACUUGUUAGCAAAGCCUGAAAAUCCAUCACAUAAGAAUCUGCUUUCAGUAGUAGUAUCAAAUAUUACCGGUUCAGGUGUGGGGAUGCUUGCAUUUGGAUCACCCAUUUCAGCCCAUGCAAUUACACCACCCUUAAUCACCAUUUCUGGUUUUGCCCCAAAGAAAGAAGGCUUCCAUAAAACAAGAUCAGCCAACUUUCCCACCUGCAGGAACAUAUAUUACUGACAGAAGGAAAUGCAGAUUCUAAAUUUAUUUUAGUGUCAAGAAAGUUUGAUCAAUCAGCCAAGAAAUUCUCUAUAAAUUGAAUAAUUCCAACAGCUGCUGAAUGCUUUCAUAACAAUAUGUACACCAGAGAAUUGUGGCACAUACCUCAACUGAACCAAUUAAUUCAGCAAACCCAUUUGCUACUGCUGGGUUUAUAGUGUACUUUGCAAUAUAUCGUUUGAUACGGAAGUUAUCAUUGUCUGAUCCACCAGGACCAAUUGAUCCCCUAUGUGAUUUCAUUUUGUGAGCAGUUUGCCAAGUUCUGCUUAUGACCUGGUAUGAAAACAAUUCGACUCAUGUAGACCUUAGCUUUGAGAAUAAAUGAAUUAUUACAAAUGAUAAAUGUGCUACAAGUAGAGGUUAUAAGAACCAAGACACCAAGUUAAGAAGAAUCUACAGCUUUACAUGCAUUUGAACAAAGCUCAAUAGCUCAUUAUCAUUUCAAGCAUAACCAUAGCAAGAUCAUGGAUUGAAUAAAAAUAGACUUUUUUACAUACAUGCACAAUCAAGUCGAACUAGAAUUAUGAUUCAUUAAUAUUCAUAUGGAACUCAAAAUGCAAAUGAAACUAGAUAGAAAUUAAAAAGUAAUGGGAAGAAGUAAACAGAUAACCUCUCCAAUGCGUCCCAUAGCUUGCGAAUCAGAAGAUAUAAUGCUAAUUGCCCCCAAAUCAUGCAAUAUAUCCUCCGCAGCGAUUGUUUCAGCCCUUAUCCUUGAUUCAGCAAAAGCUACAUCUUCUGGAAUGUCUUUGUCAAGAUGAUGGCAGACCAUCAGCAUAUCAAGAUGUUCAUCGAUGGUAUUGGAAGUGUAAGGCCGGGUAGGGUUUGUUGAUGACGGUAGGACAUUUUUUACACCACAUACUUUGAUAAUAUCUGGAGCAUGACCUCCACCUGCACCUUCACUGUGAUACGCAUGAAUUGUUCUUCCUUUAAAUGCAGCAAUUGUGUGUUCCACGAAUCCAGAUUCAUUCAAGGUGUCUGUGUGGAUAUUGACCUGUAUGUCAUAUUCUUCUGCGACAGUCAAACAAUUGUCUAUUGCAGCAGGAGUAGUUCCCCAGUCCUCAUGCAACUUUAGUCCCAUUGCCCCAGCCUUGAUUAUUUCUUGUAGCUCAUCAGGUUUGGCACCAUUACCUUUUCCAGUGAACCCAAAAUUCAGAGGCAGGUCAUCAGUAGAUUGCAGCAUCAAUUUCAUUUGUGAUGGAGCAGGAGUGCAGGUAGUUGCACGUGUCCCAUCAGCGGGUCCUGUUCCACCUCCCACAAGUGUUGUGAUGCCACUUGAUAUUGCCUCGUAUGCAAGCUGGGGGCAUAUGAAGUGCACAUGACAAUCUAUGGCCCCUGCAGUUACAAUCAUUCCUUCGCCCGCAAUAACCUCAGUGUUAACUCCAAUGAUCAUAUCAGAAUGAACAUUAUUCAUGAUAUCAGGAUUUCCUGCUUUUCCAAUAGCAGCAAUAAGACCACCUCUAAUACCAAUAUCUGCCUUGUAGAUUCCACUGUAAUCAAUGAUCACAGCAUUUGUUAUCACAGCAUCAAGAGAGUCAACUGGUUGAUGCCCACAUGACUGGCCCAUUCCAUCCCUUAUAACUUUCCCACCUCCAAAAACACAUUCAUCCCCAUAAAUAGCAAAAUCUCUUUCAAUUUCAGCAUAAAGAUUGGUAUCACCAAGCCGGAUUUUGUCACCCGUAGUAGGGCCGUACAUGUUAGCAUAGGCCUCAUGAGAAACAACAGUGGUGAAAUCAGAAUCUUCUCCAGUUACACCUUCACUGCAAAAGAUCAGUUCUGAAAUAAGAUGUCUUCCUCUGUUUCCAAUCAAUUUUGUUGACUAGGCUAUAUCACAUGCCAAAAAAGGGAGAGAAAGAACUUCCUAUGUUUCUGAUCAAUUUUGUUGACAAGGCUUUAUCAAAUGCCAAAAAAGGGAGAACAAGCACAUAGGGGAGAGAAAGUCCUCUUGAUAGCACAUUAAGGAAAUGAAAAUUUAGCUGAGUCAAAGAUUUGAACCGAGCAUUUUCUUCUUCCUGAUUCCCAAAUCCUCUUGAUUUUACAGUUUCUGAUACUGCUGCAUAAUUGGCAUCAUCAACUGGACCAUCAACAAUGCCAUUUCCGCCUCUGAUAACCUUUUUACCUCCAAUGCUUACAAGGACAACACUUUUGCAUUCCCCUGGCUCAAAUCGUAUAGCUGUUCCUGCUAGAAUGUUCAGGCGCAUGCCAUAUGCUUUCAUUCGAUCAAAACACAAGCAUGGGUUUGUCUCAAUGAAAUGAUAGUGGCUGCCCACCUGAAUUGGUCUGUCUCCACGGUUCACAACUUUGAGAAUCACUGCUUUCCUUCCAGGAUUAAGUGUAAUAUUUCCAUCUCCAAAGAUAAACACGCCCGGAAUUUCAUUUUCUUCUAUUCCAGGAAACUUGUCAAGUGAAGGAACUGGAAGAAAGGAACCAUGUAAAGCUAGCUCCAGAUUUCCAUUUUCACUAGCAAUAGGAUUGUGAACAGUGACUAACUUGGUCCCAUCUGGAAAUGUUCCUUCAACCUGCACGGAAUCCAAAAGGUGUGGAACUGCAGGAAGAACUUGUCUCCUUCCCAGUAAACAUUUCCCAACAUCCAUCAAAUCAGCCACUGUCUUAUCACCAUCGCGAACAAACUCCAAAAUCUGAGUGGCAACGAGAGCUACGGCCUCAGAGUAAUUGAGCCUGAGGCCCCGAGCGAGACGCUUCUGGGCAAGAUAACCAGCGUUAUGCAGUCCUAAUUUCUCCACCUCUCUGGGUGUCAGCUUCAUCUUUCAGAUCACUUAGCUCUUUCUCCUCAAAGAUCCCAAGUCAAUAUACAGUUAAGUAGAAAAAUUAAGGGCAUGGAUUCAAAUGGUGGAUUGAACAGGAUACAGAUUACAGAGACAGUUCGCCCAUUGCUCUACUGUUGAAGUGAGGCGAGUUUGUCGUUUUCUGUGUCAUGUGCUAAAUAUUUAUUACGUUUGUGUACGUCGGAAAGCAC